GCUUGUGGCAGGACUGGUGGUGUCCUCGAUUACUGGCCCCGACCAGUGGUACAAGGAUUUGAACAAGCCGGCGUGGACUCCCCCUGGUCCCAUCUUUGGCUUGAUCUGGACCUUCAUCUACCCCCUCAUGGGCCUGGCCUCGUGGCUAGUGUGGGCCGACGGCGGAUUCCAGCGAAAUGCCUUCCCUCUCGGCGCCUACUUCGUGCAGCUGGGAUUGAACCUCAUGUGGUCGGUGCUCUUCUUCAGGUUCCACAACAUCACUCUCGCAUUCGUCGACAUUCUGGCGCUCGCCGCCGGCGUCUUCACAUGCAUCGGUGCUUUCCAGCCCGUCAACCACGUCGCUGC
rnacentral:lncRNA from 1 species